CCCUUAGAUGUUCUGGGCCGCACGCGUGCUACACUGACCGGCGCAACAAGCUUUUUUCCUUGGCUCGACAGGCCUGGGUAAUCUUCGAACGCCGGUCGUGAUGGGGAUAGAUCCUUGCAAUUUUUGAUCUUCAACGAGGAAUUCCUAGUAAAUGCGAGUCAUCAUCUCGCGUUGAUUACGUCCCUGCCCUUUGUACACACCGCCCGUCGCACCUACCGAUUGAAUGGUCCGGUGAAGCCUCCGGAUUGGCGCGCACCUCGGUGCCGCCGAGAAGUUGGCUAAACCUUACCAUUUAGAGGAAGGUGAAGUCGUAACA
rnacentral:rRNA from 1 species